AUAACGAGUCCUAAAUAGGACGAAACGCGCGUCCUGGAU
rnacentral:hammerhead_ribozyme from 1 species